rnacentral:lncRNA from 1 species
CUGAGUGCACAGUGGCGCGUGUGAUUCCGCAGUCUUGGGCUGUUCGGCCAAGUGCCCACCAGACGUGGGGCACUGGAGGGUCAGCAGCGUGGAGUCUGGCUUUCAGCGUCCACGGCUGGGAAAUCGGCCAUCGCCACGGCGGGAACUAGGACUGGCUGCGUCCCGGCCCUUCCCCAUCCGUCCACCGGACUCGUGGGCGCCCGCACUGGCGCUGAUGUAGUUUCCUGACCUCUGACCCGUAUUGUCUCAAGAUUAAAGGUCCAGAUUUUGAACAAAUCUCUCUAGGGAUUGAACAGAGCUGCGCCUGGAUCCUGCCACAGUGAGGAGACCUGAAGACCAGAGGAAGCACAGCAAGCCCUUGGAUCCUCCUGGAAUCCCCGAUCCCUGUUGCUCCCUUGCGGAGUUUUCUAGUCCGUCUUAUUUGAAGUAUGUCUUUCAGAGCCUCACACCACCCAGCUUGGGUAUGUGAUGGAUUUUCACAUCUCAAGCCAGUUAAGAGUGUGGAAAAUAGGACUCCUUAAAGCACAGAUAUAACAAGUGGUUCAGAUUUACGAGGGUAACUCAGGUGAGAGUGUAUCAUUGUACUUGGCACACAGCACUCAGUAACUAUCACCUUUGAUUUAAAUGAAUGCAGCUGUAAAUGCUUUCCUAGGUGUCUUGUUGAUGUUUGUUAAUUUCUGUAGAGUUUGAUUCUGCUCCUUUCACUGUUUAUCACUUGACCCUUAUCACUUGAGAGUCCCCUUAUCACUUGACCUGCUGUUAUGUUUGAUUUAUUACAAAUACCCCAUCAGCCUGGGUCUCUCUUUACUCCCUUUGUACACCUACAUCUAAACAUAGGGAUUUGGAUUAUCUCAGGAUCCCACAUCCUCACUGUACCCCCACCCCCACCCCUACCAUAUCAUUCUUAAGUUUUCUAGUCCCUCCUUUUCAUUUGUGCUCCUUAAAGCCCAGCCCCAUGCCUGACUUUGGUUCCCACUGAGUUCUGUUACAAGCAUUGUACAUUUAUAGAUAUUAAAUCUUUAGCCAGGUCAUUUACCUGGG